UUCAUGCCAUUUUUUAUUAUUCAAAUUUAUCAGUCAAAAAUUGUUCUGCAAUGAUCACCAGUCAUGCAGCUUUCAUUUGAUACCAAAAUUAAUAAAAUAUUCUAAAUAUUUUGAAAGUUAUGUCCAUGCGUAGGAACUAUUUUGUGUUAAAUAUGUACUACUUUCUGGUAUGUGCUUUCUGGCCGGGCCUGAAUUAGUGGUGUUACACCAUAA
rnacentral:lncRNA from 1 species